rnacentral:snoRNA from 12 species
AACCAGUGAUGUAGUGAUUCUGCCAAAUGAAAUAGGAUGAUAUCACUCAUUUACCGUUCCAUUUUUAUUCUGAGGUU